rnacentral:rRNA from 1 species
ACGGCCCAGACUCNUACGGGAGGCAGCAGUGGGGAAUCUUGCGCAAUGCGCGAAAGCGUGACGCAGCAACGCCGCGUGGGGGAAGACGGCCUUCGGGUUGUAAACCCCUUUCAGGAGGGACGAAGGUUCGCCGGUGAAUAGCCGUGCGGAUUGACGGUACCUCCACAAGAAGCUCCGGCUAACUACGUGCCAGCAGCCGCGGUAAUACGUAGGGAGCAAGCGUUGUCCGGAAUCAUUGGGCGUAAAGCGCGCGUAGGUGGCCAUGUAAGUCCGCUGUGAAAGUCAAAGGCUCAACCUUUGAAAGCCGGUGGAUACUGCAUGGCUAGAGUACGGAAGAGGCGAGUGGAAUUCCUGGUGUAGCGGUGGAAUGCGCAGAUAUCAGGAGGAACACCAAUAGCGAAGGCAGCU